UACGUAGGGGGCAAGCGUUGUCCGGAUUUACUGGGCGUAAAGAGCGCGCAGGCGGUCGUUCAAGUCGCGUGUGAAAGCCCCCGGCUCAACUGGGGAGGGUCACGCGAUACUGAUCGACUCGAAGGCAGGAGAGGGUAGUGGAAUUCCCGGUGUAGCGGUGAAAUGCGCAGAUAUCGGGAAGAACACCCGUGGCGAAGGCGGCUCUCUGGGACGGUACUGACGCUGAGACGCGAAAGCGUGGGGAGCGAACAGG
rnacentral:rRNA from 1 species